AUGCAUUGGCGCUUACAUAAGGUGCUAAGAACAUUAAAAACUUUAGCAACUAAAGCCCCCAAUGCACAGGUGCUUAACUUGUUGGUGCUAAGCAUCCUUCAUUUAAUGAUUUUGCAACUAAAGUUGUUCAUGCAUUGGUGGGAUCCUUCCAAUUUAAUUGUUUUGCCUAGGUUCUCGCGCUUGGCAUUGUUUCUUGCUGGGGUCACCACACUCAUCUCUCUCCUCUUAAUUACCUUACCACAUCAGACUUUUUGCCUACAUGGCAGCCUUAGCACAUGUACAAGGUGGAGCAUUGGGAGGGGCCUAAAAGAACUGGCCCCUAGUACUCCUACUACUAGUAGUACUCAAGUUGGAAUUCCAAUUGCACGGCACAACUUGUUAGGCAAAAAAUUCGAUACAGGGUGUAGGAAGCGGUUUGGGAAUUUGCAUGCCUUUCCAACCAAUGAGAUACUCCGUACAAAGUACGACAGAGAAAUAACCACAGAGAAGGAAGCUAAAAGUAAACAAUCAAACGAGCAUUUUUGCAUUUGUUUUGCAUUGAAUCGUUUCACAAGCUUGACUAGUGUUGUUUUUCUACUUUUACAAAAACCGCAUCGCAAUGUUAAAACAUGCAUUUGCACGUACAUAAGUAAUAGUAGUACUCCCUCUGUCUAG
rnacentral:rRNA from 1 species